GAUGAACGCUGGCGGCGUGCCUAAUACAUGCAAGUCGAGCGAACGGACGAGAAGCUUGCUUCUCUGAUGUUAGCGGCGGACGGGUGAGUAACACGUGGAUAACCUACCUAUAAGACUGGGAUAACUUCGGGAAACCGGAGCUAAUACCGGAUAAUAUUUUGAACCGCAUGGUUCAAAAGUGAAAGACGGUCUUGCUGUCACUUAUAGAUGGAUCCGCGCUGCAUUAGCUAGUUGGUAAGGUAACGGCUUACCAAGGCAACGAUGCAUAGCCGACCUGAGAGGGUAUCCGGCAACACUGAAACUAGGACAGGGCCAAGCCUCCAAGGGGAGGCAGCGGUGGGGAAUUUUCCGCAAGGGGCGAAACCCUGACGAGGCAACGCGGGGUGGGUGAGGAAGGCCUUCGGUUGGUAAACUCUGUUAUUAGGGAAGAACAUAUGUGUAAGUAACUGUGCACAUCUUGACGGUACCUAAUCAGAAAGCCACGGCUAACUACGUG
rnacentral:rRNA from 1 species